UACGAAGGGGGCGAGCGUUGUUCGGAAUUACUGGGCGUAAAGGGCGCGUAGGCGGCUCUGAAAGUCAGAUGUGAAAGCCCCGGGCUUAACCUGGGAACUGCAUUUGAUACUCUAGAGCUUGAGUACGGGAGAGGAGAGUGGAAUUCCCAGUGUAGAGGUGAAAUUCGUAGAUAUUGGGAAGAACACCGGUGGCGAAGGCGGCUCUCUGGGCCGUAACUGACGCUGAGGCGCGAAAGCGUGGGGAGCAAACAGG
rnacentral:rRNA from 1 species